GACGAACGCUGGCGGCGUGCUUAACACAUGCAAGUCGAACGGAAAGGCCUUUUCGGAGGUACUCUAGUGUCGAACGGGUGAGUAACACGUGUGUGAUCUGCCCUCCACUCUGUGAUAAGACUGGGAAACUGGGUCUAAUACCGGAUAGAACCGCACCUUCGUGUUUGUGGUGGAAAGUUUUUUCGGUGUGGGAUGAGCCCGCGGCCUACCAGCUUGUUGGUGGGGUAGUGGCUUACCAAGGCGGUGACGGGUAGCCGGACUGAGAGGUUGGUCGGCCACAUUGGGACUGAGAUACGGCCCAGACUCCUACGGGAGGCAGCAGUGGGGAAUAUUGCACAAUGGGUGCAAGCCUGAUGCAGCGACGCCGCGUGGGGGAUGACGGCCUUCGGGUUGUAAACUGCUUUCGCCAGGGACGAAGCGUUUUGUGACGGUACUUGGAGAAGAAGCACCGGCUAACUACGUG
rnacentral:rRNA from 1 species